GAUGAACGCUGGCGGCGUGCCUAAUACAUGCAAGUCGAGCGAACAGACGAGGAGCUUGCUCCUUCGACGUUAGCGGCGGACGGGUGAGUAACACGUAGGUAACCUACCUAUAAGACUGGGAUAACUUCGGGAAACCGGAGCUAAUACCGGAUAAUAUUUCGAACCGCAUGGUUCGAUAGUGAAAGAUGGCUUUGCUAUCACUUAUAGAUGGACCUGCGCCGUAUUAGCUAGUUGGUAAGGUAACGGCUUACCAAGGCAACGAUACGUAGCCGACCUGAGAGGGUGAUCGGCCACACUGGAACUGAGACACGGUCCAGACUCCUACGGGAGGCAGCAGUAGGGAAUCUUCCGCAAUGGGCGAAAGCCUGACGGAGCAACGCCGCGUGAGUGAUGAAGGUCUUCGGAUCGUAAAACUCUGUUAUUAGGGAAGAACAAACGUGUAAGUAACUGUGCACGUCUUGACGGUACCUAAUCAGAAAGCCACGGCUAUCUACGUG
rnacentral:rRNA from 1 species